rnacentral:rRNA from 1 species
UAGAGUUUGAUCCUGGCUCAGAUUGAACGCUGGCGGCAUGCUUUACACAUGCAAGUCGAACGGCAGCGCGGGCUUCGGCCUGGCGGCGAGUGGCGAACGGGUGAGUAAUAUAUCGGAACGUACCCAAGAGUGGGGGAUAACGUAGCGAAAGUUACGCUAAUACCGCAUACGAUCCAAGGAUGAAAGCAGGGGACCGCAAGGCCUUGUGCUCCUGGAGCGGCCGAUAUCUGAUUAGCUAGUUGGUGAGGUAAAGGCUCACCAAGGCAACGAUCAGUAGCUGGUCUGAGAGGACGACCAGCCACACUGGAACUGAGACACGGUCCAGACUCCUACGGGAGGCAGCAGUGGGGAAUUUUGGACAAUGGGGGCAACCCUGAUCCAGCAAUGCCGCGUGAGUGAAGAAGGCCUUCGGGUUGUAAAGCUCUUUUGUCAGGGAAGAAAAGGGAGUGGCUAAUAUCCAUUCCUGCUGACGGUACCUGAAGAAUAAGCACCGGCUAACUACGUGCCAGCAGCCGCGGUAAUA